rnacentral:rRNA from 1 species
GGAGUUUGGACCGUGUCUCAGUUCCAAUGUGGGGGACCUUCCUCUCAGAACCCCUACUGAUCGCGGGCUCGGUGGGCCGUUACCCCGCCGACAACCUAAUCAGACGCAUCCCCAUCCCAUAGCGAUCAAUCUUUGCUUGACGUUAGAUGUCUGCUGUCAAGAACAUAGGGAAUUAAUCCGCAUUUCUACGGGCUAUGCCCUACUAGUGGGGAGGGUUGGAUACGCGUUACUCACCCGUGCGCCGGUCGCCAUCUAUCAAAGCAAGCUUCGAUAAUGCUGCCCCUCGACUUGCAUGUGUUAAGCCUGUAGCUAGCGUUCAUC